AUAAUAGCGGGUCCUCUCGAAUUAUAGGAUGUCUGAACCCUUGAAUACUAAACCUCGUUGCUUUGGCAGGCCGCCUUCAGGCGUUGGCCCCGGCUGACUGUGCCUGCCAGAGGACCACAACUCUUUGUUUUGUGAUGUCUGAGUACUAUAAAAUAUUUA
rnacentral:misc_RNA from 1 species